rnacentral:snRNA from 1 species
UUAGCUCUCUUUGCCUUUUGGCUUAGAUCAAGUGUAGUAUCUGUUCUUUUCAGUUUAAUCUCUGAAAGUGCUCUACGGAGUACAAUCGUGAUUAUUCUAAUUUUUGCAACUCGGUCGGUUU